rnacentral:rRNA from 1 species
UACGAAGGGGGCUAGCGUUGCUCGGAAUUACUGGGCGUAAAGGGCGCGUAGGCGGCACUGUUAGUCAGGCGUGAAAUUCCUGGGCUCAACCCCGGAACUGCCUUUGAUACUGGUAGUCUCGAGUCCGGAAGAGGUGAGUGGAAUUCCGAGUGUAGAGGUGAAAUUCGUAGAUAUUCGGAGGAACACCAGUGGCGAAGGCGGCUCACUGGUCCGGUACUGACGCUGACGGUGCGAAAGCGUGGGGAGCGAACGAGGA